AUUGUACUCCCUCCGUCCGAAAAUACUUGUCAUUGAAAUGGAUGUAUCUAGAUGUAUUUUAGUUCUAGACACAUCCAUUUUGAUGACAAGUAAUUCCGGACGGAGGGAGUACUUG
rfam:Triticum aestivum genome assembly, contig: Triticum_aestivum_CS42_TGACv1_scaffold_412456_5BL